AUCGCUUCUCGGCCUUUUGGCUAAGAUCAAGUGUAGUAUUCUCAAGAGCAGUUUUCAUAGGAUUAAAAGACAACAGAACAAUCACAUUCU
rnacentral:snRNA from 1 species